AAUUAUUUUGAAAGCGAUCGGAAGGCUUCAUGCUCUCUGCCGAGGAGCGAUCGCAGUCAGAAAAAUAAAUUUUCUAUAAUUUUGUAUGUUGGUCGAACCAGAACUCGAACACUGCCAUUAUGGACCAUAUAUGCGGUAACAUUUUCCAAACGCCCCCGAUUAUGAAUCAAUUCAAAGAAACCUGGUUAGCGAAAAAAAAUUCACAAAACGGCUAAGUGACAAUGCUUAAGUUAAGUUCACGUAAAGAACGUAUAUGAAUACGUAUAUGAAUACGUUCUUUGGUAAGAAUAUUCAAAUACGUUCUUUGGUACGAUCAAACAAAUAUUACCAUUUCAAGCGUCUUUGGCUAUAGAAUUAUGCUUCAAACAUGAAAUAUCUGUUUUAAAUGUGGUUUCAAAAUUGCGCAACUACUGUGGCAACUGAACACACCCAAGGACUAAGUGCACAAAAAAAACGAAUUUGAAACUCAUCUGAUUUAUUGGAAAAAGGCAAUAGUUUUUAUGAUCGCUUAUGAGUAAAGAACAUGAACCACCUAUUGCAGCAGCAACACUGUGAGUGGGAAAUACAAGAAUUUGCCGACGGGAAGGCUGAUCUUUAUAUCGUGUAAGGCGCCUAAAAUCCAGUGGCUCCCAGGACAAUCCGAAACAACACCCGGAGCAAUAACCGUCCAGAAACUGUUCCACUAGGUUUUCCUCAUUGCGGUUUUUUGAGAAUUUGGCAAAUUCAAAAACAUUGAAAUAUGUUUUUGAGGAGUUUUUGUAACUCGCCUGGAAACUAAAGCUUAUUGAAUAAAUAUUGUUUAUUUUUUAUUUAUAUAGAUCAUAAUUUUAUUGUAAGAAGUUAUUAUUUAUAGACUUUCCUUCUGACAACAAAUCGAAAAAAAAAUAAUAUUUGCUCUACUAAGUAAAUAAUCAGGAAAAUAAGAUAGUAUGAAUCGUGCUAAAAACAAAAAUUCUUUGUUGAAAACAAUUUUUAAGCACAACCAAAUUUCAAUCCUUUUGGUCGCGAAUCAGUAAAACACAUGUCAGACACAUACUUACCGACUAUAUGAAACAUAUAAUUUUGUGAUUACGUCUACAAUUUAUUAUGAUUGUAAAAUUGCAACUCAUAGUAUUACAGAUUAAUAUUAAAAACUUCAUUUUUAAAGAUAUUAAUUCUAAUUAUUAUAUUAAUUCUGAUGAAGCUACUAUAACACUACUACAACUGUACGAUUUUUCAAAUGUUUUUUUUUUUUUUAAUGUUUAUGUUGUGUGUGAAUGUAGUGAGUAUGGGAAUUUUAAAUUAAAAUUCUGCGCUAAGUGCAACACAAGCUGACUGACAUAAGAUGAUACACACUAGUAUAUAGUUCAUUUCUAACUCAAUAAAACAUAUUUUAUCUUUUC